rnacentral:lncRNA from 1 species
UAAUCCACCGCUUAACAUGCAACAGACCGCCUCUUGAACAAAGGCAACCAAAAUACACAGAGGACCCCUGCUCUUCAUCUUUAACCUUCAGCCUUUCAACACACACAAUGGACACCCAUGGCCGCUUCUUCUUGAUUCCAAAUACCAGCAACCAUUUCCUCCACCCAAGAGCAACUGUUCAACCAUUACUCCUAACAGAAAGGACACACACAUAAACUUCAUCUCCCUCCCAAAACCAAAGAAAAAAGCUAUUGUAAAUCCAACUGCAAACGACCCUAAAAGAGACUCGAAAUCUUUCCUCCUCUUCCUCCAAAAGUCAACUCAAACCAACCACUCAAGCAUCCACCAUUAGAAGAAGCAAAAUAAGCCGCAAAUAGCUCUCAUACCGUUCAAGUACAAACAUCUUUUUGGUCAUGGUUCAAGUUGCUGAAUUUAGGUCUGAUUGUCGUCGUGUUCGACUUUGUUAGAGUUUUCGUUCAUUAGCUUCAAUUUUGGUUCUCUAUUUUGGGUUGGGUUAGAUCUCCUCUACUAGAAUUUUGGGAAUGAAACAUGGAUCUAGUCCAUUACUGUUGUCAUUCAAGUUUGAUCAUUGUUCGAGUUUCACUAGUACCUGCACUUACCAUCUGUUGUAGCUGUUAUGAUUUUUCGCUAA